AUUGAACGCUGGCGGCAUGCCUUACACAUGCAAGUCGAACGGUAACGGGCCUUCGGGUGCCGACGAGUGGCGAACGGGUGAGUAAUGCAUCGGAACGUACCUUUCAGUGGGGGAUAACGUAGCGAAAGUUACGCUAAUACCGCAUAUUCUGUGAGCAGGAAAGCAGGGGAUCGCAAGACCUUGCGCUGAUUGAGCGGCCGAUGUCAGAUUAGCUAGUUGGUGAGGUAAAGGCUCACCAAGGCGACGAUCUGUAGCGGGUCUGAGAGGAUGAUCCGCCACACUGGAACUGAGACACGGUCCAGACUCCUACGGGAGGCAGCAGUGGGGAAUUUUGGACAAUGGGGGCAACCCUGAUCCAGCCAUGCCGCGUGAGUGAAGAAGGCCUCGGGUUGG
rnacentral:rRNA from 1 species